UACAGAGGGUGCAAGCGUUGUUCGGAAUUACUGGGCGUAAAGCGCGUGUAGGCGGCUUAUUAAGUCAGAUGUGAAAUCCCUUGGCUCAACCGAGGAACUGCAUCUGAAACUGGUAAGCUUGAGUGUCGGAGGGGAUGGUAGAAUUCCUGGUGUAGAGGUGAAAUUCGUAGAUAUCAGGAGGAAUACCUGUGGCGAAGGCGACCAUCUGGAAGACAACUGACGCUGAGACGCGAAAGCGUGGGUAGCAAACAGG
rnacentral:rRNA from 1 species